rnacentral:rRNA from 1 species
UACGUAGGGUGCAAGCGUUAUCCGGAAUUAUUGGGCGUAAAGAGCUCGUAGGCGGUCUGUCGCGUCGGCUGUGAAAACUCGGGGCUCAACCCCGAGCCUGCAGUCGAUACGGGCAGACUAGAGUGCUGUAGGGGAGACUGGAAUUCCUGGUGUAGCGGUGAAAUGCGCAGAUAUCAGGAGGAACACCGGUGGCGAAGGCGGGUCUCUGGGCAGUAACUGACGCUGAGGAGCGAAAGCGUGGGGAGCGAACAGG